GGCUCAGGAUGAACGCUAGCGACAGGCCUAACACAUGCAAGUCGAGGGGCAGCACAGAGGUAGCUUGCUACUUUGGGUGGCGACCGGCGCACGGGUGCGUAACAGGUGUGCAAUCUGUCCAUAAUCGGGGAAUAGCCCAGCCGAAAAGUUGGGAUUAAUGCUCCAUGUGAGCUGAGGAGGCAUCUCUUUGGUUUGAAACGUAAGGAUUAUGGGUGAGCACGCUUCUGAUUAGGUAGUUGGUGAGGUAACGGCUCACCAAGCCGACGAUCAGUAGGGGUUCUGAGAGGAAGGUCCCCCACAUUGGAACUGAGACACGGUCCAAACUCCUACGGGAGGCAGCAGUGAGGAAUAUUGGUCAAUGGACGAAAGUCUGAACCAGCCAAGUCGCGUGAGGGAAGACGGCCCUACGGGUUGUAAACCUCUUUAGUCGGGGAGCAAAAAGGACCACGCGUGGUCCAUUGAGCGUACCCGAAGAAUAAGCAUCGGCUAACUCCGUG
rnacentral:rRNA from 1 species